CACGCCGUAAACGAUGAGUGCUAGGUGUUGGGGGUCAAACCUCGGUGCCGCAGCUAACGCAUUAAGCACUCCGCCUGGGGAGUACGUGCUCAAGCAUGAAACUCAAAGGAAUUGACGGGGACCCGCACAAGCAGCGGAGCAUGUGGUUUAAUUCGAAGCAACGCGAAGAACCUUACCAGGGCUUGACAUGCCUCUGACCGAUCUAGAGAUAGAUUUUACCCUUCGGGGACAGGGGACACAGGUGG
rnacentral:rRNA from 1 species